GUGGGAGGUUCUAACGAAAAGAAAGGAAAAAAAUAAAUCAUGAUAAAAUUAAGCAGAACCGGUCCUUUAAUAAGGGGAUAUAGGAAAAAGAGUCUGAGAAGGUAAAAAAAUUAACCUAGCGGCGCUCUGAGGCGAUACGACGGCGACGCUUUCUGAGAUCGAGAUCCUCUUUGGGUUUUCGAUCUUCUCCUAUUCCAAACGUUCAUUGAAGUUGGAGUAG
rnacentral:lncRNA from 1 species